rnacentral:rRNA from 1 species
GUGCAAAGAACUUUGAAGAGAGAGUUCAAGAGGGCGUGAAACCGCUGUGAUGGAAACGGAUAGAGUUGACGAAACCCGGUAGCACUCAGCCAAUUUGACGCCGGAUGCCCGGCCAUCCUUAUUGCACCUCACAUUGCUGGGGUGGGGAUGGUUUGGUUGCGUCGGAGCCCAAUUGGUGUAUUUGCUCUGGGUAAGCGCUGAGAAACUGGCUGUGGUAUGCUGACACUGUUGCUAAAGAGGACCAUGCCCAUCUGGGUGUGGAAACCUUUGGUUGGCUGGAGGCGUAUCCACGGUGAGUUGCCUUUGGGUUGUGUUGCCCGGCUGUAUGGCGCACGAUUGUCACUGUGUGGCUAGUGUGACUGUUGAGCGGUCGCUUGCGACUUGCUUACAGUUGGCGUUGGCUCAUUGGUGGUUUGAUUGCGUUGGGUAGACGCGUCUCGGUGUAAAAGUUGACCACCUAUCCGACCCGUCUUGAAACACGGACCAAGGAGUCUAGCAUAUAUGCGAGUCAUUGAUUGGUAAACCCAUUGGCGUAAUGAAAGUAAAGGUCGCUUUAGUGCGGCUGAUAUGGGACCCGUAGAGUUUCGGCUAUGCGGUGCACCAUAGCCCCGUCCUGGUUGCUUGCAAUAGGGCGGAGGUAGAGCAUAUACGCUGGGACCCGAAAGAUGGUGAACUAUGCUUGAGCAGGAUGAAGCCAGAGGAAACUCUGGUGGAGGUCCGAAGUGGUUCUGACGUGCAAAUCGAUCACCAGACUUGAGUAUAGGGGCGAAAGACUAAUCGAACUAUCUA